GAUGAACGCUAGCGGCAGGCUUAAUACAUGCAAGUCGAGGGGCAGCAUGGUUGUAGCAAUACAACUGAUGGCGACCGGCAAACGGGUGCGGAACACGUACGCAAUCUACCCAAAACUGAUGAAUAGCCCUCCGAAAGGAGGAUUAAUACAUCGUAACUUAAUGAAGUGGCAUCACCUUAUUAAUAUAGCUCCGGCGGUUUUGGAUGAGCGUGCGCCUGAUUAGGUAGUUGGCGGGGUAACGGCCCACCAAGCCAGCGAUCAGUAACUGGUGUGAGAGCACGACCAGUCACACGGGCACUGAGACACGGGCCCGACUCCUACGGGAGGCAGCAGUAAGGAAUAUUGGUCAAUGGACGCAAGUCUGAACCAG
rnacentral:rRNA from 1 species